UUUGGACCACGUCCAAUGUCAGUGCCACCUGUGCAACAAAUGUCUCGGUUAGAUCAGCCCGUUCCCCCUGCAGUUGGAUAUCCACCAAUGCAGCAACCUCACGGAUACCCCCCACAACCCCAUGGUUAUCCACCACCACAACAACAGCCUCAGGGUUACCCACCAUCUCAGCAACAGCCUCAGGAGUACCCACCACCUCAGCAACAACCUCAGGAUUACCCACCACCUCAGCAGCAGCCUCAGGGUCAUCCACCACAACAGCAGCCUCAAGGUUAUCCACCACCACAGCAGCCGCCUCAGGGUUACCCACCAUCACAGCAGCUGC
rnacentral:lncRNA from 1 species